rnacentral:rRNA from 1 species
UGGGGAAUAUUGCACAAUGGGCGAAAGCCUGAUGCAGCGACGCCGCGUGAGGGAUGACGGCCUUCGGGUUGUAAACCUCUUUCAGCAGGGAAGAAGCGAAAGUGACGGUACCUGCAGAAGAAGCGCCGGCUAACUACGUGCCAGCAGCCGCGGUCAUACGUAGGACCCAAGCGUUAUCCGGAGUGACUGGGCGUAAAGAGUUGCGUAGGCGGCUUGUUAAGUGGAUAGUGAAACCUGGUGGCUCAACCAUUCAGACUAUUAUCCAAACUGGCAAGCUCGAGAAUGGUAGAGGUAGCUGGAAUUUCUAGUGUAGGAGUGAAAUCCGUAGAUAUUAGAAGGAACACCAAUGGCGUAGGCAGGCUACUGGACCAUUUCUGACGCUGAGGCACGAAAGCGUGGGGAGCGAAC